CCCCUCCCCUCCCUCUGCCCUGGUUGCGCGCUGGGGGAUCCGACGACGUCACACACACACACACACACACACACACACACACACAUACAUACAUACACACGCCCUCUCUGUCUCUCUUUCUCUGUCUCUCUCUCUCUCUGUGCCGCUCCGUCUCUCUCACUCUCUAUCCUUCUCUUUGCUGCUAUUCUGGGAAGUGGCGCUUGGAAUAACCCCCGUGUGCGUAAGAGUGUGUGUGUGUGUGUGUGUGUAUGUGUUUCCUGAUUUCACCCUCACACACGCACACAUACACACUCACAACACAGCCAGACGCACACAUUUACUGUCUGUCUGACUGCAGUAGUGGAGCUCUGGCAGCAGAAAUCCGGUCGGAAAGGAUUCCUUCCAUUUUUACGCGCAACUUUUCCUCCUUCUACUGCGUCGCCGCGACGUCUCCAUCGCUGGUUCCGACUCUUGUGGAUUUCUAACAACCGUGUCCCGACUGUUUCUAACGGACAACCAGCGAAGUGUCAAGCGCCCGGAAUCGGAGCUGCUGUCACCGGGGUUGCUUGUUGUCAUUUUCGCACGGAAACGGAGACGCGCAGCCAGAGCGCAGAUAGAAGGGGCUGUGACCUGGUGUGGACCCGUUGUGGACUUGCUAAACUGGACCAGGGGACAAACAUUUACACCAGGUAUGGCUUCCACUGUGGCCCUGUGCCGCUUCUGUGGCGAGAAAAUAAGGUACGUGGGAUGUUUUUGUUUUAUUGUAAUUAACGUCAGGGACAACCUUUGUGUUUUUGAGGUUUGACUCGUUAACUUUAAUGAAGAGAAGUUUGGGGUAAACAGUGUGUUUUUCAUAAUCAGGCUGGAUCUGCUGUGUUUUCCACUGAGGGAAGUUUAUGGUAACCUUUAAGAGCUGACAUCAGCCGCUGCUGUGAGCCGUACCUGCGCAGUCAGCUACUGCUGUGUGUGUGUGUGUGUGUGUGUGUGUGUCUGUGUGUGUGUGUAUUACAGAGGCAAGCAGCAGCCUCUUUAAUGAGGUUGAACUCGAGGGUUUGUGCGUAGUCUUCGUUCAGCCUGCUGGGAAGGUUGCUGGUGUGUGUUUGUGUGUGUUGCCCUUCCCAUGAGUGGGGAGCCCCAUAUACAAACUGCAAGGCUUCUCAUAAUGAACACAGCCUUUUCAAGUCGAGUCGAGUGCUUCUGUGUGUGAGUGUGUGUGUGUGUGUGUGUGUGUGUGUGUGUGUGUGUGUGUCAGCUCAUUGUGCCAUCCCCAGGGGGCAACAGGUGCCGUGGGCAACAUGAAACCCUGUAGAGUGACAUGGAGAGAGGGUGUGAAGUGAUGGGAGAGGGAGAAAGUGAGGGGUGACGAGGACAGGAAGGUAAGAGGACGAGCUGCUGUAUGAAACAGAUGAGCGUUACGUGGAAAAACGUGCGAUCAUGGAACUCUCCUGUUUUCAGUCUUACCACCAGAUGUUGAACCUGCUUCAGGGAUUUGCAGUGAUAAGAUUUGGCUCACGGUCAGCGAUCCAGUUCAUCCCAGUGGUGUCAGAUGAGGUUGAGGUCAGACAUCUGUGCAGG
ensembl:lncRNA